rnacentral:lncRNA from 1 species
AAAAAAAGAAAAGAAAAAAAGACAGAUAGCAUAUUAUCCGCUUCGUUUAUUUCAUUUUUAGAAAUAAAUUUAGGUAGAAAUGUGAAUCAACUAAGAUUUGAACUUGAAAUCUAGAAUAUCAACCACCAAGCUCUUUGCUAUUUUUAACUCUUUUAAACACUAUUUCUAUAUACUUUUUAACGUCUUGAAGGAAGGAUUGUGUUCGUAGUAGGACUUUUACUGAUGUUAAAAAUACAAAAAAAGAAAACCUAUGCCUAGGUAGGUAUCAUUGCCGCAUUUUAGUUUUUUUAAGCACUAAUUCUGUAUAACUUGACAUAUUGUGUUGGCAUUUGGUUAAAUCGAAUCGGGUACGCCCAUAAUCAGGCUCGAUCCGAUGGUUAUUAUGUUAUCUAAUUGGAUGAGGAUUAAUCUCACUUUUAAAUUGAAAAGCUAAUUAGAGAUAAAUUCGAAUCAUAUUAGUAUAACAAUUAAUAAUCGAUUUGGCCUUAUCUCUUACGCUCUUAGGAUUUUGGAAUUCCAUAUAAAUAUGCGGGCAAUCCCACAUAAAACGAUGAACGAAAAAUAAAAAGAAUAAGAAAAUAAAAAGAGAGAAAUCAUAUCCUCCAUUAACCUAUUAUUCUAAAGGGACUUGAACGGUGGAUUUGCGAUCGUGCUCGUUUGUAGUUCAAUCCACUGCAAGUUCGGGACGUAAGAAGAUUUUCAAGGACGAUCCAAGGACACGUGAAUCAACCUCUACGAUCCGGGCUUGUCGCGUAGUAGCGCGAAUCGCUUCCGCAAAAAGAUACGAACCAAUACUUCCGCUGCGUUCGACAUAUUGGAAGAAAAAUAUCAUGUUGGUAGCACUAAUUUUGUAUAACUUGACACAUUGGAAGAAAGAUCAUGUUGGCAGCGUACCCGUAUCCUAGUCAGUAAAUUCGUGACUUAUUCAUGAAUUAUUGAAAAUUCGAAUUAAACGGUCCGUUUUAUGAAUUUAAAAAAAAAAUUAUUCACAAAUUUUUGGGCCAGUCGAAUUAUUCGCGAAUAAUUCGCAAAUUAUUGCCGAAUUAUUAAAAAUAUGAAGAAAAAACUUAUAAUUUUUAUUUUUAAAUAUAAAUUAUCUUAUAUUUUAUAUUUUAUACCAAUCCGUUUUUUAAGCCGAAUUUUUUAACAAAUUUAAAAAUUAAAAAAUAAAUUUUAUACGUAUUAUAUCCGUACCGAAUUUUUACCAAAUCCGAAUUAACUAACUAUGAUCCGUCGUCACCUUUUUACCUUUUUAAGCACUAAUCUAUUAAACUAUAUGAAUCCUCAAUAACUUUUGCCACGUGUCAAAUUUUUCUUCAUCCACACCUGAUCCUUCUCUUCCCUGAACCAAACCAUGUCUCUUAUUAAUUUUUGAACCGAACCGCCUCUCUAUUCUCUUUUCUGAACCAAGCCUCUUAAGUUCUGAACCAAUCCGCCUCUCAAUCCUUUCCCUUUUUUUCGUAUAGCAAGUAAUGUCUCCCCUUCUUCUCCGCGUUGUGCAUCGUUCCACCUCCCUCUUCCGACCUAAACACCAAGAGCCCCAAAUCCCUAGGGUUUUCGCUCCGGGAUAGAUACAAAUCACUUGCUCCAAUCUCUGAUUCCGGCCCCUAGAUUUUGUGAUGGAUGGGGUCUCUAUCCCUCGGGGUCGCUCUGUGGAAGGGAAAACACCAACCUAUGGAGAGAGAGAAACAGAGAGAGAUGAAUUCGUGAGCUGAUAAAGGAGACAACCCAACCUGGUUUCAAUGUCCUCCGCAAGCGCCAUUACUACAAAUUGCUAAAAUGUGGUAAUGGAAAACAUAUUAAUUAAUGGGUUCUAGAUGAUUAUUUUUGACUAGGUUAUUUGAAACAUAAAGUACGUCCCUUUAGGUUUCAUUGGUUUCAUAUUUGCCGAUCAAUGUUGAAUUUUUCUAGAGAUUUCAUAAAAUAGAAAAGACUUUAAAAUUUACUAUAAUACUCGCAAUGAAUGUUGGUUCAAUGGAGUGUGCUAACACAUAGAAAAACAACAACAUGAGAAAUCAAUAAAAAGCAGAGACUGCAAGCCAUAGAAGAGGGUACAAUUUGUAAGCAUCAUCUUUAUUCUUUGCACCUCAUUCUCUUGAGCAGGAUGGCAAUAUCUAUCAUCAAUUACUUGAAAUAUGCUUCUAAAAUUCUUUAAAGAUUUCAUGUUGGAGUGUGAUGUGCAGUUUCCUGUAUUUGCAUGUGUACAAGAUUUCAUGUUGGAGUGUGAUGUGCAGUUUCCUUUAUUUCAUGUUGGAGUGUGAUGUGCUUUUGUUUGUUUUGAUACUGCCUCAGCUGGUUCAGUAAGUAUAAGCAAAAUACAUGUGGCUACAUAUGAAACUAAUCAAAUUAUACUUCGAGAUUAUUGGGUAAAAAGUAUUUCUCUCCUGUUUGUUUUGGUGAACCAAGUUAUAUCUCUUUUUAAGGAUUGUGCCUUUUUUUCCAUUCUUUGUCUAGAUAAGUUUUCAACUAAGUUUUUUCCUUUAUGACGGGUCUCAUUGGAGCUUCUGUAUUCUGUUGUAGGUGAAAAUUUUAUAUGAUUCCAAACUAAUUUGUCAAAAAUAGUUUAAUAUUUCGUGAAUAAGUUCUUCCCAUCUGGGUAUCCGCACAGGUUUGGUAGCAUAAACAGAUCUGUAUUUGCUGCUUUUUAGUGAAUGUAGGAGUAUUAUUUCUUAUUGAAAACCAUAAUCUAUUAUGCAAUGUGAAUGAGGUGUACCUGACCUAUACCCAAAUCCAAGCACUCCAACAUUUAUCCAGUGCUGCAUUGUCUGUGCUGUCAACAUAAUUAAUUUGGAUUUGGAUUCUUCAGCGUCCAAUCCUACGGCAUGGGAAAUGAGUCCAGUGGUGAGCCCAUGAUCUCAGGCGACCUCAAGAUCAAUAUCAAGGGGAAGCACCUGAUCUUGGUAAAUGCCUUGCGUUUUACAAAUUUUUGACUUUUGUUUAGUGUUUAAUUCUAACUUGAUGUGAAUAUAUCAAUAAUAAAUAGGAUAGUGGACAAAAACUGAUACUUAAAAAUUUUAUUUUUUUCACUGAAAAAUCUAAUUUUUGCUUAUAUGUAAGUUGAUUGAGUUGCUUUAUAUCUUCUUUAUUUAGAAAUUUGUGUAAUGUUAGGAUGUACUACUCUUUCUUUUUUGCGGAAAACUGAUGAGAUAAUCUUUAGAAUUUUUUAUCAUUAUCUAUUUUUGAGUCAUGACGAAAAAAAAAAUUUUGCACAAUAAUAUCUGCCAGCUGAAUCGCGCGGGUUAACUACACCAGUAUACAUUAUUCCUCAUAGCUUUGCCACAUGGCAAUUCCACCUUCGUUCUUACCUUUUCCCCUUUUUUCACUCCAUGGCGCUUCGUCUUCCCAUCUCCUAUCUCCGCUUAAUGUUUCGUCUUCUCACUUAUUCAUUUUCUAAUUAAUGCAUUCAUAUGCUAAUUGUCAUAUGAACAAAUCACUUUCAUAAAAAAUAAAAAAAAUGAGUAAAAUAAAAUCUAUUCAUAUUCUUUUGUUUUUUCAUACGAUUUAUAUUUAUUGAUAUCUCAUUGCAACUAAAAAAUUUUUAAAAUUGUUAUUUUAUCAAUCUUUUAUAUUUUUUAUAGUAUUAGCCCGCCGCAAUGCACUGGUAACUUCACUAGUGUAUCUUUAAUUCUCAACUUUGAAAAUGAUACCAUUAAGUACUGAAUUUAAUUCUUCAAAAAAGACUUAUAACAAGCUAAGAAAGAAAAGCGCACACCAAAAAAAAAUAAAAAAAUAAUAAAAAAAAAAUUUCUCACAUCAGGAAGAAGUAGAUGCAUACAUACAUACAUGGCUAACACAUAUAUACAUGGAUAAUACAUUUUAAAUAACAAUAUGCUAAGUACGCCAACAUAUUUUCACACGUACAUUUAUAUGUUCACAUAGUGGUAGUAGCAGUAGGAAACACUGGAGACGCAGAACAACAACCUAUAGCUAAGCACAUGCGACUCCGCGACAACCAUGGGCUAACGUUUUACAUGUCCAGUAACAAGAAGGGCAGCACCUGCAGCUGCAUCCCCUACUGCGGCAAUCGCGGGACGCCACAGUGGGCGGAUCACAUUCCUGCCACUGCACUCACCGUAUUCCACGCCACUGCCGUCGUUGUUGCUGCUGCUCACGCCUAUCCCGUCGCCACCGUGCUUGUCUCGCCUCUCCAUAUUGAGAUACUUUCAUAUACGAGCACCAUGAGAGAGAGCCAUGAGAGUGAGAUGAUCAUGAUGUUAAUAAUGAGGAUGGGUAAAAGAUGAUCAUGAGAAGCAGCUUACUGAUUGGAGUGUCCUCCCCUUUUCAAGAAGCUUCUCCCCCUGCAAAUCUGCAAUAUAGCAAGUCUUUUCUUUUUUUUUUUUGAGAGAGAUAGGUAGCAUGUUAUCCGCUUCGUUUAUUUCAUUUAGAAAUAAACUUAGUUGGAAAUAUGAAUCUACUAGGAUUCGAACUUGGGACCUCGGGUACCAACUAUCAAACCCUUGGCCACUUGCGCUAGGGACGGUCGGUGCAAUAUAGCAAGUUAAGAUAGACAAACCGAAAUGAUUGUGCGCGUAAACUUAUUUUAAAAUGGUAGCAUGCAUGGUUAUCUUGCAUGUAAGUGGUUCUACGACUCUCUCGGGUUCGUUCCCUCAGCAAUUUUGAAGAUUUAAUUGAUCUCUAUGCUCUUAUCAUGCUGGUUCAAAUGCGUCGUUUAAGUAGAACUUUUUAGGAAGCACUAGCAGCCUUUUUUCACAUUUUUGUUAUCAUCCACUCAGUCUAUCCUACUGCAGCAAGAUAUUCAGGGGAACUUAGUUUGUGUUAGCUUCUCGUUACAGCAAAAGCAUAAGAACUUUGUUUGCCAAACACACGCUAUCUGUCUUCGGAGUAAAGAAGUUCAAAAUCCUAAGCCCUAACUUGCACAAAGUGAUGAAUAGUAUUAAAUGGUGGUUUAAGGAAUCAUGACCUCUUAGUCCUUGGUGAAGGUUGUUGAGAAUUUAUCAUGAGAAAUUAGUGGGAAUGCUAAAAACUGUUAGAAGAGGAUCAUUAGAUGCUGAUGGUAAUCAAACAAAGAAAAGAGAUUUGUUAGUGUGCAGUUAGAGCUGUCACACCCGAAUUGUUCUAUAACUUGUGGAGCGGUUUCUCUGCAAUGUGCGACGUAUAACUAGGGCACUUAUCUUGUCAACUUGGACUUGAGCAUCUUGGACCACAAUAUCGAAAGACAGCUUCUGCAAAUAGCUACAAACAAUUAAUAACGGGCUAGUUGUGCUUUACGAAGUGAUUUAACAACCAAGAUCUAUAUCUUCCUAAGUAGAUUAGUGCUUAUCUAGUCUAGUACAAAAUUAUGGACAUGGAUGCUAUGGAUAAAGAAGAUUCUUGACCUAAAAUUUCCCUUUGCAUCACCCCUAUCAAAGAUCAUAUUCUAGUUGUGAAAUGCUAUGCACGGUAGAGGAUAAGAAGAUUCCCAACCUAAAAAAUAGAAGUGUUUUUCUUUAAUUUUCCCCUCUGCAUUCCCCGUAUCUAAGAUCAUAUUCUAGAAGGUGUGAACUGCUAUGCACUAUACAUAAGUGCAUCAGAAAAUCAAAGUUAUCUAAGUUGAUCAAUUCAAGAGUUUUCACAUACCUUUUCCUGAAGCUCAGCAAUCAUAUCCAUCAUCACCUAAGUCUGUAUGCAUGCACAGCACAAGAUUAUAAAGUAAAAUCUGUAAAGAUGCUUUACCAUCUUCGCAAUUUGGCAUAAUAAAUUUGAACACAAUUUGGCAUAAAGAUGCUUAACUCCUCUUUUUUUUUCGUUAGAAGCCGAGAUGCUUCACCCUGUUGCUAAAUUCAAUUUCUUACUUAAUGAAGCGGUAGCAUACUACCUUUCUCUCAAAAAAAAAAAAAAAAAAAAAGAACCGUGGGUGCCAUUUUAAAGAUCUAUACUUCUUUCGGUAAGAAGUUUCUCAUCCAAAUCAUGAAAUUUUCCCGCUAAACGGGGUAACGUUUGCUAACCUUCUGGGUCGUUGUUUGUGUUAAUGCACCAUCCAGUUCACUUUCAACUUUGGUUGAGCUCAUCAAAGCUCAGCUGUGUGAUGUUUAAGCUAUAGUUCUGCUCUUAGUGUUGAAGAGCAAUUCAUCAAGCACUUCUGUAGUGUUGAAGAGCAAUUCAUCAAGGCACUUCUGUAGUUUCCCCAUUCUUUGAAUUGAAUUUGUCACCUCUUCUUCCUUGUUUUGAGCAAAUCUCAGGAUUAGAUGUGCACAUUAAUCUUCAUCAGUAGGAAAUCUCUGUAUUAUCUUACAAUAUGUUAUCUUUAUUUUAUUUGGUCUGGUGAUUGUGGCUAUGUUUCUCAUGUUCAGAAGUAUUCAUUUUGUUCAGAAAUAUAUCUGACAUUUGUGUGCAUUUAUAUCUGACAUUCGUUAACAUCCAUGCACCGAAAAGUCAAAAACAAAAAAAAAAAACAAUCUUCAAUACUGAUAAAAGAAGCAAAUCUUCAGUACUGCUAAAACAUGGGGAGGAUAAGGGAAUACUUCAAUACUGCAAAAACAAUCUUUGAACAGGUUUGAGCAUCCUGCUUCAAUUACUUGUUCAAUCGGACCAAAAGGAAAAAAAAAAAAAAGAAAAAGAAACCAUCAGUUCAUAGCAAAUCCAAAAGAGGAAAAGCUAUCUUCAAGACGCUCUGACACUUCAAGCAGCAGUCAAAGGGAACAGACGGAAUAUGUGGUUCAGCACCUGGUAGCUCCCCUGAUGUGUCGGCAUCAAAAUGAACAUCUACAGAAGUUAAAAAAAGGGGGAAAAAAAAAAAAAAAAAGCAAUUAGGUCCCUCGUCAUUAGCAUUUGAUACAUAUAGGUUGAUAGCAAUGACUGCAUAUACAAAGAAAAGCCUUACAUCAAGGUUAAUCAAAGAUGACUUUGGUGGAGGCGAAAAAAAAAGGGAUCACUACAGAAAAGUCAAAAACACAAAUAAAACACGGACGCAUGCUCGCAAAACAAUUGCACAUAUUACACACACGCACGCACGCACGAGCGCGCACAGCUUUUGAGGGGAGUUAAAUUCUUUGCCAAUGAUGCCAAACAACAAACUAUGCGCUUAUUUUGUCAUUUCAUUGAGCUUUUGAAUGGAGUUAAACUCUUUGCCAAUGAUGUCAAACAACGCACGUGUGCAACCAUUUUGUCAUUUCAUUCAAUUGGAAUUAUUGUAGUCAAAUUCUUCGCCAUGGUCCAAAGGUCCUAUCACAAUCAAUCCAAUCCUAGAGCUUCUUUGUUACAUAAUUACAUAAUUAACCACUUUCCUCGCAGAUUAAUAGACCCAGACGUACACUUGAUCAAUCAAAUCACUCUUGAGCAAAACCGUCUUCUUCACAACUUAUGAAGAUUCAAAAGUUUCUUUUAUUUUCCCAUCUAACCUAACUUCAUCAGCUUUUUUUAUUCCUCUUUUACAAUAGUUUAUCAUAUUUCUAGUUCAUCCAGCUCGUAGAAAAAUGAAAAAAACACACAAUAGCACAAGGGUCAAAUAUCUUUUUUCUAGAUACUUAGUAAUCCUAAAAGAGAACCUCAAAAUCAAUCUCUCAUCUAAAAGCUAUGGGGCGUGCCAAAUCCAUGCUUAAGGAGCAAAAAUUCUCCUUCUAAUCAUAGUAGCAAUCAAUAAGAUCGGAUUCAAAUCUCAAACAGGCGCAUAAGAUUUCCCCUAAAAGAACAAUUAACUAAGAAAGAAAACCCUAAAUUCAUAAUCCACAAAUGACCUCAUUCUCUAUUUAUUAAAAAAGAAAGUAAGACACAAAAAAAAAAAAACCCCCAAAAGAACAGAAGAACACAACACACGGAACCGUAAAACAGGCUCACCACAAGGAAAGCAUAGAAUGUAUAGGAGUAAAGGCACAUCAAUUAGUCUUUAUCUAGUAGGAUAAAAGACCAUUAUCUGAUCGGCAAUCAUCAUUUAAACAUGAUUGAGUGAACACCAUAUCAAAUAGGAAAAGAAUAAAUAAAUCUAACAAGGAUAUCUUUCUCCGGUUGCUUUAGCACCAAAAUAAGUUUAAAGAAGGAAAAUAGUGAAGGUAAAAACCAUAAAUCUGGCUGAUGAUCUCUUCCUCCAUUCUAAUUAUGCCGGCUUGGCAUAAAAGGAAAAGUAAAAGAAAAAAAAAAAAAAAACCCGGGAAAAAUCGACAAAAACAAAAACCCCUAGGUCCAUUUUCACCACAAGGAUCAAACACAAAAGGCACAAGAAAUGAAGUGCUAUCAAUCAAUCGAGUAAUCUAUCUCUUCUCUCUUCUUUCUUACUUAGAUUGGGGAGUAGAAUAUCGAAUCGAAGAAAAAAUAAAAAGCCAAACUCUAGAUGGAACCGAACACAAGAAUCGAAAGAAAGAAAGAAACUACUGACCUGGCUGAACAUGCUCUUGCUCUGGUGGUUUUCGCCGGCGAGCUGGAUGGCGCCGGAGACCGAGAGGAGCAAGCCACACUGGGGGCCACCCUGGGGGUCAGAGUCCUGGCAGCAGUCGACGUUGUAGAUGUCGUGGAGCUGGAAGGGGAGGGAGGCUAGCUUGGCGACGAUGGCCUGCGCGCCCUGGAUCUUGUCGCCCUCGAACGUUAGCAUCGACCCUUCCUGGUACAGCUCCCCCAGCGCCGCCCGGUUCCGGUUGAACGUCAUGCAGUAGUGCUCUACGAACUCCCGCGCCAUCACGUCCGGAUCGAUCGAUCGAUCGCUCGCUCGCUCGUCCAUUGUUAAGAAGAUGUAAAUGAUCACGAUGAUCUCUCUCUCUCUCUCUACUCUCGACAGAGAGGGAGAGGGAGAGGAAGAGGCAGAGGCGAACGGAGGAGAGGAGGGGGGCAGCGGCAGCGCUCCUUAUGUAUGAUGAUAAUAAUACAUAUAUAUAGGGAUAUAAAUGAGAAACCCUCCAAAGUCGGUGAUUAAUGGAUGUGCUAACCUACUUUCGCCCACCACCCUUUUUUUUGGUGCACCCGGUGUACCAUGUUUACUUUAAAAUUUUAAUUUUAAUUUUAAUUUAAUAUAAUAGGUAUAAUAUUUUAUUAUAUUUAAAAAAUAUAUGUAAAAAAUAAUUUUAAAUCUUAAAUUUUAAAUUAUUUUUUAUAUAUUUAGUUUUUCGUAUCAUCAUUUAAUUGUUGGUUAAAACUAAUAAUGUAUCCAAAUAUUUUUGAUUCGCUAAUUCGUCAUUAAUGAAUUGUGUUACAGGCCAGGUUGGAAAUACCAACAAAAUUCAGACGCUUCUAUUUAGUGCUAUUCUGUCUAACUGGGGGAAGGUAUGUUUCAAAAACUAAAUUGCAGUUAAUGAGGGAGGUUGCUGACAAAGUUGAUACGCAUCUUGAGCUUGCUCCUGCCCUCGGAGGUGAGCUCCGAAUGCAUCUCCGUAGUCAUGGCAUCCGCGAUCCGUCGUAGCUUUCCAAUAGGUGUGGCACACUGCUCCUUGAGCUCCCUCACUAUUGCCACUACCCUCACCCACCACCCCCAGCUCUGCAUUCAGUGCUGCACCACCACCUCAGCCACCGCGCACGCCGUCGCCGUCCUCACCGCCGCCUUUCCCAUCUCCUCUGACUAGGGGGAGAAAUAAAAUAUGUAGAUUAUACUUUGUACUUGAAAUAAUUGCUAUUUUUAUUAUUAUGGUGUGAUUUUUUGCUUCCAAAUCUUAUGUGAGUUUAUUUUAUUUGAUAUUUGAAAGUUUUUAUGUAUGGCAGACUUUUUUGUUGUUUAAAAUUAUUGAAUAUAGUUGCUUUCGUUUAAUUUUAGCUUCAAGUACUCUAAUUUUCUGAUUUCUUCUUCUUCUUUUUUUGCUUAUAUGGCAGUUGAUUGAGUUGCUUUAUAUCUUCUUUAUUUAAAAAUUUGUGUAAUGUUAGGAUGUACUACUCUUUUUUUUUUUGCGAAAAACUGAUGAGAUAAUCUUUAGAUUUUUUUAUCAUUAUCUAUUUUUGAGUCAUGACGAAGAAAAAAAUUUUGCACAAUAAUAUUUGCUCGCUGCAUCGCGCGGGUUACCUACACUAGUUCUAUAUAAUUUGACGUACUGAAAAAUUUUAAAAAAAAUAAUAAAAAAGAAAAAGAAAAAAGAGAGGUAUUGAUAGCAUCUUUAAUUAAUGAUCACGCAAAAUUUAAAAAUACAAAUAAGACCUAUGCCUAGCUUGGUAGUUUGGUACCAUGGCUAUUUUCUCAAUUUUGUAAGCACAUACUAUAAAAUUUAAUGUGUAAUGAAAACAACUUUAUUGUUUUUUAACUUAUUAGCUCACAAUGCAUUCCACUAAGAGAUAGAUGGCCAUUUAUUUUAAAAAAAAAUUUGGAAGCGGAAACAAAUUGUUUUCAAGUUUUAUUUAUUGUUGUUAAGUGAAAAAUUAUGGAUGAAAAAAAUUAUAAACAAUUCGCUAUCCACUCUUCCACUUUUUAAUAUACAAAAAUUUUAUUUAAUAAAGUAAAAAAUAAACUUUUUUUUUUUUUUUUUGCAUUUAUUCAUAUCAAAUUCUCUUACUCAACAUAGAAGCUUACAAAACCUUUUAAAUAUAUAAAAAUAGACAUUUGAAAUUUUUAUUUGUAAAAAUAAACUGAUAAAAGCAAUAAAUCAUUUACAGCAUUGUACCCUAAUUUAUAUAUUUCCUACAUCCAAACUUCAAAAUAUAUAUAGUAUUAAACACUAAAGAUAAGAUGGAUAAAUCAUUCACCGUAUAGAACUAAUUUUAUAAAGUUCUUAAAAAUUUUAUUUUUAUAAUUAUAAUAUUUUCUAAGUGUAUUAAUAAAAAAAAAUUCCACCCAUUAUGUAAAAAUAUUGAGGAAUAAACCAAUAUUCCGCCUAUAAGGCAAAGGCGAACUCACACAAUCGUCACAAUCGAAAUCCGUAAACACUGUAUCU